rnacentral:rRNA from 1 species
AGAACGCAGCAAAAUGCGAUACUUGGUGUGAAUUGCAGAAUCCCGUGAACCAUCGAGUUUUUGAACGCAAGUUGCGCCCGAAGCCUUUUGGUCGAGGGCACGUCUGCCUGGGUGUCACGC